rnacentral:rRNA from 1 species
GAUUUCUGGUUUAGUGCGCUUGGCCCGCCACGGUUUCGUGCGUGAGUGCCGAUGCGCGCUUACCAUCCUUCUGGAGAACGUUCCUGCCCUUUACUGGGUUGGGUUCGCAAUCCAGAACUUUUACUUUGAAAAAAUUAGAGUGUUUAAAGCAGGCUUUUGCUAUGAAUACAUUAGCAUGGAAUAAUGAUUUAGGACUUGAGUCUUAUUUUGUUGGUUUCCAGGACUGAAGUAAUGAUUGAUAGGGAUAGUUGGGGGUGCUAGUAUUCAGCGGCCAGAGGUGAAAUUCUUGGAUUCGCUGAAGACUAACUUAUGCGAAAGCAUU